GACGAACGCUGGCGGCGUGCUUAACACAUGCAAGUCGAACGGAAAGGCCCUGCUUUUGUGGGGUGCUCGAGUGGCGAACGGGUGAGUAACACGUGAGUAACCUGCCCUUGACUUUGGGAUAACUUCAGGAAACUGGGGCUAAUACCGGAUAGGAGCUCCUGCUGCAUGGUGGGGGUUGGAAAGUUUCGGCGGUUGGGGAUGGACUCGCGGCUUAUCAGCUUGUUGGUGGGGUAGUGGCUUACCAAGGCUUUGACGGGUAGCCGGCCUGGGAGGGUGACCGGCCACAUUGGGACGGAGAUACGGCCCAGACUCCAACGGGAGGCAGAAGGGGGGAAUAUUGCAAAAUGGGCGGAAGCCUGAUGCAGCAACGCCGCGUGCGGGAUGACGGCCUUCGGGUUGUAAACCGCUUUCGCCUGUGACGAAGCGUGAGUGACGGUAAUGGGUAAAGAAGCACCGGCUAACUACGUG
rnacentral:rRNA from 1 species